AAAACUUUCAACAACGGAUCUCUUGGUUCUGGCAUCGAUGAAGAACGCAGCAAAAUGCGAUAAGUAAUGUGAAUUGCAGAAUUCAGUGAAUCAUCGAAUCUUUAAACGCACAUUGCGCCCGCCAGUAUUCUGGCGGGCAUGCCUGUUCGAGCGUCAUUU
rnacentral:rRNA from 1 species